UUGUUGAAGAACUCCAAGCUGUUGACGAGCUGUUAGGCGGGCAAUAGCAAGCUAGGAAGG
rnacentral:sRNA from 1 species